rnacentral:rRNA from 1 species
GACGAACGCUGGCGGCGCGCCUAACACAUGCAAGUCGAACGGAGCUGAGAGAAGCUUGCUUUUCUUAGCUUAGUGGCGAACGGGUGAGUAAAGCGUGAGUAACCUGCCCUGGAGUGGGGGACAACAGUUGGAAACGACUGCUAAUACCGCAUAAGCCCACGAUACGGCAUCGGAUUGAGGGAAAAGGAUUUAUUCGCUUCAGGAUGGACUCGCGUCCAAUUAGCUAGUUGGUGAGGUAACGGCCCACCAAGGCGACGAUUGGUAGCCGGACUGAGAGGUUGAACGGCCACAUUGGGACUGAGACACGGCCCAGACUCCUACGGGAGGCAGCAGUGGGGGAUAUUGCACAAUGGGGGAAACCCUGAUGCAGCGACGCCGCGUGGAGGAAGAAGGUUUUCGGAUUGUAAACUCCUGUAGUUAGGGACGAUAAUGACGGUACCUAACAAGAAAGCACCGGCUAACUACGUG